rnacentral:rRNA from 1 species
GACGAACGCUGGCGGCGUGCUUAACACAUGCAAGUCGAACGGAAAGGCCCUGCUUUUGUGGGGUGCUCGAGUGGCGAACGGGUGAGUAACACGUGAGUAACCUGCCCUUGACUUUGGGAUAACUUCAGGAAACUGGGGCUAAUACCGGAUAGGAGCUCCUGCUGCAUGGUGGGGGUUGGUAAGUUUCGGCGGUUGGGGAUGGACUCGCGGCUUAUCAGCUUGUUGGUGGGGUAGUGGCUGACCAAGGCUUUGACGGGUAGCCGGCCUGAGAGGGUGACCGGGGACAUGGGGACUGAGAUACGGAGCAGACGCGUACGGGAGGCAGCGGGGGGGAAUAUGGCACAAUGGGGGGAAGCCAGAUGCAGCAACGCCGCGUGCGGGAUGACGGCCUUCUGGUUAUAAACAGAUUUGGACUGUAACGAAGCGUGAGUGACGGUAAUGGGUAAAGAAGCACCGGCUAACUACGUG